GGGCCCGUAGCUCAGCUUGGCUGGAGCGCUCGGCUGAUAACCGGGAGCUAAACGCCGGUUAAGGUCGAGGGUUCGAAUCCCUCCGGGCCCACCA
rnacentral:tRNA from 2 species